CAUGCAAGUCGAACGAAGCAUUUAGGAUUGAAGUUUUCGGAUGGAUUUCCUAUAUGACUGAGUGGCGGACGGGUGAGUAACGCGUGGGGAACCUGCCCUAUACAGGGGGAUAACAGCUGGAAACGGCUGCUAAUACCGCAUAAGCGCACAGAAUCGCAUGAUUCAGUGUGAAAAGCCCUGGCAGUAUAGGAUGGUCCCGCGUCUGAUUAGCUGGUUGGUGAGGUAACGGCUCACCAAGGCGACGAUCAGUAGCCGGCUUGAGAGAGUGAACGGCCACAUUGGGACUGAGACACGGCCCAAACUCCUACGGGAGGCAGCAGUGGGGAAUAUUGCACAAUGGGGGAAACCCUGAUGCAGCGACGCCGCGUGAGUGAAGAAGUAUUUCGGUAUGUAAAGCUCUAUCAGCAGGGAAGAAAACAGACGGUACCUGACUAAGAAGCCCCGGCUAACUACGUGCCAGCAGCCGCGGUAAUACGUAGGGGGCAAGCGUUAUCCGGAAUUACUGGGUGUAAAGGGUGCGUAGGUGGCAUGGUAAGUCAGAAGUGAAAGCCCGGGGCUUAACCCCGGGACUGCUUUUGAAACUGUCAUGCUGGAGUGCAGGAGAGGUAAGCGGAAUUCCUAGUGUAGCGGUGAAAUGCGUAGAUAUUAGGAGGAACACCAGUGGCGAAGGCGGCUUACUGGACUGUCACUGACACUGAUGCACGA
rnacentral:rRNA from 1 species